AUUGAACGCUGGCGGAAUGCUUUACACAUGCAAGUCGAGCGGCAGCGCGGGGCAACCUGGCGGCGAGCGGCGAACGGGUGAGUAACAUAUCGGAACGUACCCAGUCGUGGGGGAUAACUAUCCGAAAGGAUAGCUAAUACCGCAUACGACCUGAGGGUGAAAGCGGGGGACCGAAAGGCCUCGCGCGAUUGGAGCGGCCGAUAUCGGAUUAGCUAGUUGGUGAGGUAAAGGCUCACCAAGGCGACGAUCCGUAGCUGGUCUGAGAGGACGACCAGCCACACUGGAACUGAGACACGGUCCAGACUCCUACGGGAGGCAGCAGUGGGGAAUUUUGGACAAUGGGGGCAACCCUGAUCCAGCCAUUCCGCGUGAGUGAAGAAGGCCUUCGGGUUGUAAGCUCUUCGG
rnacentral:rRNA from 1 species